GCAAGUCGAACGGACGAUGAAAAGCUUGCUUUUCAAAGUUAGUGGCGGACGGGUGAGUAACGCGUGGGUAACCUGCCUCAUACAGGGGAAUAGCAGCUGGAAACGGCUGAUAAAACCGCAUAAGCGCACAGUGCUGCAUGGCACAGUGUGAAAAACUCCGGUGGUAUGAGAUGGACCCGCGUCUGAUUAGCUUGUUGGCGGGGUAACGGCCCACCAAGGCGACGAUCAGUAGCCGGCCUGAGAGGGUGAUCGGCCACAUUGGGACUGAGACACGGCCCAAACUCCUACGGGAGGCAGCAGUGGGGAAUAUUGCACAAUGGGGGAAACCCUGAUGCAGCGACGCCGCGUGAAGGAAGAAGUAUCUCGGUAUGUAAACUUCUAUCAGCAGGGAAGAUAAUGACGGUACCUGACUAAGAAGCCCCGGCUAACUACGUGCCAGCAGCCGCGGUAAUACGUAGGGGGCAAGCGUUAUCCGGAUUUACUGGGUGUAAAGGGAGCGUAGGCGGCGGAGCAAGUCAGAAGUGAAAGCCCGGGGCUCAACCCCGGGACGGCUUUUGAAACUGCCCUGCUUGAUUUCAGGAGAGGUAAGCGGAAUUCCUAGUGUAGCGGUGAAAUGCGUAGAUAUUAGGAGGAACACCAGUGGCGAAGGCGGCUU
rnacentral:rRNA from 1 species